GAGGGAAAAGUAUCAUCUGAUCCUGUAGCUAUUGAUGCACCUGGAGGCUUUCUUUUUGAAUGGUGGUCAGUUUUCUGGGAUAUAUUUAUUGCAAGGACAAAUGAGAAGCACUCAGAGGUUGCUGCAUCUUAUAUCGAGACUCAGUUCAUUAAAGCGCGGGAGCAGCAGCAGCAACAACAGCAGCAAUCUCAACCACCUCAGCAUCAACAACACCAGCAGCAGCCGCAGCAGCAACAGCAACUGCAGAUGCAACAGCUCCUAUUGCAGAGGCAUGCUCAGCAGCAGCAGCAACAGCAGCAGCAGCA
rnacentral:misc_RNA from 1 species